AGAGUUUGAUCAUGGCUCAGAAUGAACGCUGGCGGCGUGCUUAACACAUGCAAGUCGAACGGGACUGAGGGGGCAACUCCUCGGUUGAGUGGCGGACGGGUGAGUAACACGUGGGUAACCUGCCCGGAAGUGGGGAAUACCUCGGGGAAACUCGAGCUAAUACCGCAUGACAUCUUCGGGACGAGAGUCCUGUUGAUCAAAGCGGGGUCGCAAGAUCUCGCGCUACCGGAUGGGCCCGCGCCCGAUUAGCUAGUUGGUGAGGUAACGGCUCACCAAGGCUUCGAUCGGUAGCCGGCCUGAGAGGGUGAUCGGCCACACCGGAACUGAGACACGGUCCGGACUCCUACGGGAGGCAGCAGUGGGGAAUCUUGCGCAAUGGGCGAAAGCCUGACGCAGCAACGCCGCGUGGAGGAUGAAGGCCCUUGGGUUGUAAACUCCUGUCGGCUGGGAAGAAAUCGUGCGGGGCUAAUACCUCCGCGCGUUGACUGUACCAGCAAAGGAAGCCCCGGCUAACUCUGUGCCAGCAGCCGCGGUAAUACAGAGGGGGCCAGCGUUAUUCGGAAUUAUUGGGCGUAAAGGGCGCGUAGGCGGCCACGCGUGUCUUUCGUGAAAUCCCUCGGCUUAACUGAGGACGUGCGGAAGAAACUGCGAGGCUCGAGUCCGGGGAGAGGGGGGGUGGAAUUCCCAGUGUAGCGGUGAAAUGCGUAGAUAUUGGGAGGAACACCGGUGGCGAAGGCGGCCCCCUGGACCGGUACUGACGCUGAUGCGCGAAAGCGUGGGGAGCAAACGGGAUUAGAUACCCCAGUAGUCC
rnacentral:rRNA from 1 species